UACGUAGGGUGCGAGCGUUGCCCGGAAUUACUGGGCGUAAAGAGCUUGUAGGUGGUUUGUCGCGUUGUUCGUGAAAUCUCACGGCUUAACUGUGAGCGUGCGGGCGAUACGGGCAGACUAGAGUACUGCAGGGGAGACUGGAAUUCCUGGUGUAGCGGUGGAAUGCGCAGAUAUCAGGAGGAACACCGGUGGCGAAGGCGGGUCUCUGGGCAGUAACUGACGCUGGGAAGCGAAAGCGUGGGGAGCGAACAGG
rnacentral:rRNA from 1 species